ensembl:rRNA 5S_rRNA 5S ribosomal RNA
GCUUACGGCCAUACCACCCUGAGCACGCCUGAUCUCGUCUAAUCUCGGAAGCUAAGCAGGGCCGGGCCUCGUUAGUACUUAGAUGGGAGACCCCCUAUGAAUCCAAGGUGCUGUAAGCU